rnacentral:rRNA from 1 species
AUGGGCCCUCUUGUGGUAGACCCACAUGUCAUCGGUGUAACUAUUUACGCUCCAGAGGACGGUGCCUAUAUCCUGGUAGUAGUACUAGUAGAAUUGAGAUUUAAUGCACUUUCUUCCCCGUCUUCCACUCUUCUUCCUCCUCUCUUCUUCUUCCUCCUCUCUUCCCCAUCAUCGGCCGCACACCAUUUACCCCCGCUCACUGCUCUCCCACCCGCGCCAUCUUCCUUGGACCUGGAAUCAUACCAGCCGAUGGGUGGUGGUUUAUCGCUUGUUCAACUGACGGCGUCGAAGAAGGAUUGGCCGGUGCUGCCAGCUGGAGUCAAGUUCGAUCCCACGGAUCAGGAGCUGAUCGAGCACCUUGAGGCCAAAGUGAGUGUUGACAGCGCGAGAUUUCAGUCUCUCAUUGAUUUGUUCAUACCAACCAUUGACAGCGAGCACGACAUAUGCUACACCCAACCUGAGAAACUUCCAGCAAAAAAGGUUCUGGUGCUGCACACCAACAAGAACUUCGACCAGCAGAGGACCAACUGGGUGAUGCACCAGUACCACAUCGAGGACCUGGAGCAAGAGAAGGAGCGGGAGCUGGUCCUCUGUAAGAUUUUCUACCAGACGAACACUAGGGCCAGGAGUAGUUUGGUAUUGGUAGUUGUACUACCUUGUCGUCCGCAAGUUGGUAUUGUUGUUAAUGAUCUUUUGGCCCAGCCCAUGACGACAACGGGGCACAAAGAUCCAGCAGGUAUCUACUGGCCCCUGGCCUGCCAGCGUUAG